GCCAGGCUUGGUGGCGCAUGUCUGUAGUUCCAGCUACUUGGGAGGCUGAGGUGGGAGGAUCACUUGAGCCCAGGAGUUCUGGGCUGUAGUGAGCUAUGCCAAGCGGGUGUCCACACUAAGUUCGGCAUCAAUAUGGUGACCUCCUGGGAGUAGGGGACCACCAGAUUGCCUAAGGAGGGGUGAACUAGCCCAGGUUGGAAAUGGAGCAGGUCAAAGCUCCCGUGCUGAUCAGUAGUGGGAUUGCGUCUGUGAAUAGCCACUGCACUCCAUCCUGGGCAACAUAGUAAGACCCCAUCUCA
rnacentral:SRP_RNA from 1 species